ensembl:lncRNA
GUCAGAACAUUGGACACAACAUGAGGUCAGUACAUUAGACACAACAUGAGGUCAUUACAUUAGACACAACAUGAGGUCAGGAGACACAACAUUUUUUUUUUUUUUCUUUUCACCUUUAUUUAACCAGGUAGGCCAGUGGAGAACAAGUUCUCAUUUACAAUUGCGACCUGGCCAAGAUAAAGCAAAGCAGUUCGACACAUACAACGACACAGAGUUACACAUGGAGUAAAACAAACAUACAGUCAAUAAUACAGUAUAAACAAGUCUAUAUACGAUGUGAGCAAAUGAGGUGAGAUAAGGGAG